rnacentral:rRNA from 1 species
GCUUAUACAUGCAGUCGAACGAUGAGAGGGAGCUUGCUCCCUGGAUUAGUGGCGAACGGGUGAGUAACGCGUGAGUAACCUGCCCUUGACUCUGGGAUAAGCACUGGAAACGGUGUCUAAUACCGGAUACGAACUUCAGCCGCAUGGCUAGGAGUUGGAAAGAAUUUCGGUCAAGGAUGGACUCGCGGCCUAUCAGCUAGUUGGUGAGGUAACGGCCCACCAAGGCGACGACGGGUAGCCGGCCUGAGAGGGUGACCGGCCACACUGGGACUGAGACACGGCCCAGACUCCUACGGGAGGCAGCAGUGGGGAAUAUUGCACAAUGGGCGCAAGCCUGAUGCAGCAACGCCGCGUGAGGGACGACGGCCUUCGGGUUGUAAACCUCUUUUAGUAGGGAAGAAGCAAAGUGUUUUACAUGGAGUGACGGUACCUGCAGAAAAAGCACCGGCUAACUACGUGCCAGCAGCCGCGGUAAUACGUAGGGUGCAAGCGUUAUCCGGAAUUAUUGGGCGUAAAGAGCUCGUAGGCGGUUUGUCGCGUCUGCUGUGAAAACUGGGGGCUCAACCCCCAGCCUGCAGUGGGUACGGGCAGACUAGAGUGCGGUAGGGGAGAUUGGAAUUCCCGGUGAAUCGGUGGAUGCGCAGAUACCAGGAGGAACACAGUGGCGAAAGCA